AUAGAACUGUUUCCAGAGCUGCUGUCACACAGGCUGCAAGCAAUUAGGGCCUUCAGGCACCUCCCCCAAGUUCAUCUCCCCUGCAUUCCUAAUUUUUCUUCCAAUGCUGGUGAUGUGUGAAUCUAGAGUUAUCUCUGAGCAACUCUGGUAUCAAAACUAUUUAAAUCCAUGAAUCAGCUUUCUUCCCAGUUUUCUUAGCCUAUCUGUUAACCAAACAGUGGAAAUGGGGCCAUACUGCUUCCUGCAAGUGGGCAUUUGAGAACAAAUUCAGGGCUCGACAUGUUGCAGAUUUGCACACCUCACUCAGGAGGAAACAUCGGUUCUUUGCCUUUUGUUUUCUUUCCAUGACACCUGGGAGGGGCUUUCAGAGGAGUGAAAUAGUGCUCCUUGUUUCAGUUUGCGAUGUCCAGUUUGUGCCGUCAUAGAGCAAUAGCUGAAGGGCAAUUCUUUCCCAUUUUCAUGCUGUGCAUUUUCUCCGUCCUUUGUCUCCAGACAUUGUUAAGUACAGCCUGCAUUUUUCUCUGCAGUUCUGUGUGCUGGGUAUGCUGAUUAUAUGCAAAUUUCCUAAUAGUAAUGUUAAUUUUCCAACUUCUGAAUUAACACAGAGCACAGGCUGAGUGACAGUGCCACAGCAAUAUUAAGUAUCACUGAAUUAGGUUCAUUAGCCACUACGCUGCUGAAUGUCAGGUAGAAAUUGUUUUUUGCUGGUUCCUCCACUUCUCCUACCUUGCAGUAGAGUGAAGUAUGCUUAGAUUUGUGACACUUCCUGGGAAAAAGCACAGCCGAGCACAGCUGAGAUGGGAAAAAGCAGCUCAGUACAGGUUAGCUGGUCUGGAGGGGACAUUUUGGAGCUGACAAGUGGAUGGGAAAGGACAAUGGAAGUGCAACCAAGUGAGGAGAUCAUUCAGACAGAGAAAUCAAAUGUGUCUAAAAUCCUGGAUGCCUCGUGCUGGCUCCAGCAAUGAGCAUGGACAGCUACACCUGCCCAGUGGUACAGCUAGCUUUGGAUGCACCAUGGCUAAGGUAAGUAAGCCCCAUAGUAAUCACUUCCACAUCAAAUGCACCUAUAAUUAAUUUACAAUACAACAACAUGACAGAA
rnacentral:lncRNA from 1 species